GACAGAGGAUGCAAGCGUUAUCCGGAAUGAUUGGGCGUAAAGCGUCUGUAGGUGGCUUUUUAAGUCUGCCGUCAAAUCCCAGGGCUUAACCCUGGACAGGCGGUGGAAACUACCAAGCUGGAGUACGGUAGGGGCAGAGGGAAUUUCCGGUGGAGCGGUGAAAUGCGUAGAGAUCCGGAGGAACACCAGUGGCGAAGGCGACACGCUGGGCCAUACCUGACGCUAAAGCGCGACAGCAUGGGGAGCAAACGGG
rnacentral:rRNA from 1 species